GAUGAACGCUGGCGGCGUGCCUAAUACAUGCAAGUCGAGCGAACAGACGAGGAGCUUGCUCCUCUGACGUUAGCGGCGGAGGGGUGAGUAACACGUGGAUAACCUACCUAUAAGACUGGGAUAACUUCGGGAAACCGGAGCUAAUACCGGAUAAUAUAUUGAACCGCAGGGUUCAAUAGUGAAAGACGGUUUUGCGGUCACUUAUAGAUGGAUCCGCGCCGCAUUAGCUAGUUGGUAAGGUAACGGCUUACCAAGGCAACGAUGCGUAGCCGACCUGAGAGGGUGAUAGGCCACCUUGGAACUGAGACACGGUCCAGACUCCUACGGGAGGCAGCAGUAGGGAAUCUUCCGCAAUGGGCGAAAGCCUGACGGAGCAACGCCGCGUGAGUGAUGAAGGUCUUCGGAUCGUAAAACUCUGUUAUUAGGGAAGAACAAAUGUGUAAGUAACUAUGCACGUCUUGACGGUACCUAAUCAGAAAGCCACGGCUAACUACGUG
rnacentral:rRNA from 1 species